AAUAAAAUACCUUAAAUUUUAAAGGGUUACUCUGAUACAGUAAAUAUGAAUAAAUAUUUUCUUUUAUUA
rnacentral:tRNA from 1 species